rnacentral:rRNA from 1 species
CACGGGGGGAACUAGCGUUGUUCGGAUUUACUGGGCGUAAAGGGUGCGUAGGCGGGCUGACAAGUCGGGUGUGAAAUUCCAGGGCUUAACCUUGGAUCUGCAUUCGAAACUGCCGGUCUUGAGUACUGGAGAGGUGAGUGGAAUUCUCGGUGUAGCGGUGAAAUGCGUAGAUAUCGAGAGGAACACCGUUGGCGAAGGCGGCUCACUGGACAGAUACUGACGCUGAGGCACGAAGGUCGGGGGAGCAAACAGG